ACUUAAACUCGAUAUACGACAGUGUCAUCAUGUCUGUUUAAAUGUUUAUAUUUAUACCUCGGGACACCUUGUUUCUUUCUUUGUCCGCUCAGUCUCCCAAGCACUCGCAUACAUGUAACAUGUCGCAACGAAAAAUCUGUCAUACGCGAAAAUUUAUCACGGAAUUCCUGACCUUUAUGGCCAUGCUCAUGAACUGAGGAAUCUGUAUUAAUUAUGUGACGAGUCAAUAGAUGAUAUAGUUUGCACUUAAAAAGGGCUCGAAUCUUAAGCCGAAACGUCGUGCAUCUUUGUACAUAUUGCGCCAGUUAAUCGAGAAAUAAAUUGAAUUUACUGAUUUCUUUAUUAUUACAAUAAUUUGAAUAUUGAAAU